rnacentral:miRNA from 1 species
AAGAUAGCGCCUAGUUAGGUUGGUGCUAAAAGUAAUUGCGGUUUUUGCCUUUAAACAUAAUGGCAAAACUCACAACUACUUUUGCCCCAGUCUAAUAGGUUUUGUUGAUUGCCAA